rnacentral:lncRNA from 1 species
GCGACGCCGAUCGGAGGAAAAAGGAGGAGCAGAAGAUACGUUCCGUCCAAGUUUCCGGUAACGAAUCUUCGCUCCUCCCUUCAGGUCUCUCGUUACUGGUCAGAGUUCAAGAGGAACCUAAGGCUCUGGACUCGCACCAGAAAGGCUUACGAGCCUCGCAUCAUACUAGAUUUGAUUAGACUUAUCAAGAAUCCGAUCGAUUCUCGCCAAAACGGCGCCGUUUCCGUUUCUAGAUACUCGUCUUGUGCGGUUGUUGGUAACAGCGGCACGUUGCUGACUAGCCAAUACGGUGACGUCAUCGCUAAACACGAGAUAGUGAUUCGUCUCAACAACGCUAAAACGCAGAGUUUCGAGAAAAAGGUGGGAUCGAAAACGAGCGUAUCGGUCAUAAACAGUAACAUUCUCCACCAAUGCGCGAGGAGAGAGCGUUGCCAUUGCCAUCCUUAUGGAGAUUCGGUACCUAUAGUAAUGUACAUUUGCCAGCCGAUUCAUGUGUUGGACUACACCGUUUGCAAGCCCUCUCACAAAGCUCCUCUGGUCAUCACGGACCCGAGAUUCGACGUCCUGUGCGCUAGGAUCGUGAAGUAUUACUCCGUCAAGAAGUUCUUGGAAGAGAAGAGAGCCGAAGGGUUUGGAGAUUGGAGUAAAGGUCACGAAGGGUCGUUGUUUCAUUACUCGUCUGGUAUGCAGGCGGUGAUGCUUGCGGUGGGGGUUUGUGAGAGAGUUAGCCUUUUCGGGUUUGGGAAGUUGAAUUUGACCAAGCAUCAUUACCAUACGAAUCAGAAAGCAGAGCUGAAGCUUCAUGACUAUGAAGCGGAGUACAGAUUGUAUCACGACCUGGAGAACAAUCCCAGGGCGGUUCCGUUCUUGCCGAAAGCGUUCAAGAUCCCUUCGGUAAAAGUUUACCAUUGAGUAUAUUGUCAGAAAAGAAGUUUUGUCAGAAAAGUUUGUUUCUUCAAGCGAAGAAGCUUCUGCUCUGCUCUGUCAUUUUGUGUAAGUACCAAAGAUUUUGCUUUAGAUCAGGCAGUUGCGAGCAAAGGGUGAGAGUGUUUUAUACAAUUUCGAUUUGUCAUGUGUCAUGUCACACAUAUUUGAUGAAAAUGUAUGGUAAAUUUAGACGAUAUUCUUACAUGAUGUCAAUCUAAAGCCGAAGGCUGAUGAUGUGUUCUCUUACAUUUUAUAACGUUCGAUUAGAAUAAGAUUUGAAAGCACGUCUAUGUAAUGAAAAGAGAGAUUACAAUAUUUAGAAAGUCUCAAAGGAGGAUUAUCGUACAAUAAUGAAGUGAAGCACAACAAUUUUCUCUUCUAAAUACAAAUGCAUGAAUGAGAGAAACAGAAAAUUCACGUGCUUCACAAGAUAACCACCCUUGAUAAAAAAAAAAAAAGAGGAAAUCCUAAUUAAGACUGAAACAAAGUACAAGCUUAUUACUAAUCACUUAGAUAAGCAGGGGUUUUACGCAAGCAACCAAAUGCUCCCCGACAAAUACAUCCCUCGGAGAAAGAGAAGUUUUUGUUAGUGAGCAUUAUUUAAAUUAACCUCUUCUUAAGGUUUAAAUUUUAGUCGCAAAACACCCUAACAUGCAUGGUAAUAGAACUAAAACACACCAAAUACUUAAAACGCUCAAGACCUCAGAUUUUACAAGUGUUAGGUAGACAGUGUGGGGUUCUAUGUAGACUCACCGUAAAUAUAUCCCAAUAAGAAGAUCUAAAUUUUAAAAUGUUGCUUCGGUUUCUUUGCUAAGUUGUUAUAUUUUGAUGUAAUUGAGUCUAAGUCUAACAAAGAAUUUCUCCCUUUGCAAGAUAGAAAUUCGUUGUUAGACUCGAUACUUUUUGUGGUUAGAAGCAACAUUUGAAAAUUCAGAUCUUACCUAUAUGGACCGAUGGAUCCCACAGCCCCCCCACGAGUCUACCUAACGUCGCUCUGAUCACUCUGUGGUGACACACUCCGUAUCCUCCUCAAACCCACCAAACGAAAGAGAAGGGUGAGGAGAGUGUCCAUUACCAAAAGACUUGAUGUGGUCUUUAAGAGACCUCUUGUGCUUAAAAUCUGAUCCACACGUACAAUACCAAAGCUUCCCACAGUUUUUCUCAUGAGUCCUCCAGUCACCUUUAACGGCCAACGCUUUGCCGCAUUUUCCGCAAGAGAAAGGCUUGGAGCCAUGCUUACGUUUGUAAUGUGUCUGAAGCGUACGGAAGUCCUUCAAGGGCUUGGCACGUGGAUGGUUGAUGUUGUUCUUGCAUCCUUCCGCGCAGCAGUAACAUGGUAGACGCAGGAUAGCUGCGGGUUGGGUUGUGCCUUUCAGUGAGUCUGCUCCUUUUCUGAACUCUGAUCCAUGUCCCCACAUAUGCAUCUGUGUUGGGUACAUUAAUACAUUAGAACGUAAUAUAUAUAUCAUUGCAUUGAUGUGGAUAACUUAUUUUUACAGUUAUGUUUUAUAUAUAUGUGAGAUGAUUGAGUUUAUGAAUAUUCAUGUCCAUUAUGUUAUAAAUGGGACUCCAAUGUUUGUCCAAGUUAGAAGUACACCUCCUAAUAUAUACUCCCUCCGUUUCAUAAUAUAAGUAGUUUUGGCUAACAGCACGAAAAUUAAGAAAAUUAUUAUGUUUUUAAAAAAUAUUUUAUAAUAAAUAUGUUAGAUAUAAUUUAACCAAUACAAAAUAGGUCUAUUUAAUUUGAUUGGUCACAAUGUAUUCAAUAAAUGUAAAAGUUACCUAGAAAUACGAAAAUUACUUACAUUUUGAAACAAAAACAUUUUCCUAAAACUACUUACAAUAUAAAACGGAGGGAGUAUAAUACCUGUCACUCACAAGUUCAGUUAAAGAAACCAUUGAUGUAGAAAAAGUACGUGUUUCCUGCUUAAAAGUAGGGAUUGGUGUAAUGUUUGUAAAAUUAAAGUUGAGAGGAAAAUAAGUAUAUAUUGAAUGGUAAAGUAAAGAAUCCUAAGUAAAAUACAUAUGAAAUGAAUGAUACUUAAUUAGAAGCCUUUUACUCAUAUUAUCAUUAGGUGAAGUAAUCGAUUGCAUAGAUUCAGUAAAAGUAGUGUGAUCAUUGUUUUUUUUUUCCUUUUUUGUUUCUUUCUGAAUUAUACUUUACCAAAUCCCACUCUGAUUAUUUUUGCUUUUUGGCUUUUCAACCAAAACGGCAACGCAAAAUGAAAAAAAAGUCAAAAGAUUUAUGAAGAUUUCUCAACUAAUCCAGAAGUUAUACACCCAAACUAUCUUCUUUUAGGUGAUUGGGGGUUAUAUAUCUACUACUACGAUGAUUUACCAACCGAGAUUAAUUACCGUAAAAUUAAGUCAUUAAAGUUCAUAUUCUUUAAUUUACAACUAAAUUAAAGUCCUUUCAUACUCUGUAUGUAAUGAUGUUAGUUUCAGUACUCCUAUAUCUGUUUUCUUUUGUUCAAAACAAAAAUCAUGAAAUUUGUUGUAUUUGUGAAGGGGGAAAAGUUGUUUAAAAUUAAAGGUAUAUUAAGAAAUAUUUCUUUUCAGAAGAUAUAGCCGUAAAUGUAAUACCUUAUGAAAUAUUUCAAUGGACAAAUGCAAAGGUAAAGUUGACAUAGGGACAAUGUUUCUUACUUUGUUAAUAUGACACAAAGUGAUAAUGUUUUGACAUAAAAUGCAAGAUUUGGUGAAUUAGUGGAUGUGUACCAAAGCAACUAGGAUAAAGAUGAUAAGAGAAAAGACGUACCUGCAUGUUAUUGUACCUAUUGAAGGUUUUGCUGCAAAUAGUGCAAGCGAAUUGCAUUGGACCGACAUGAAUAGCCGAGCUCGGCAGCACCUCCGGAUUCAUGACGGCGGAGGAGGUCGCGUUCAACGAGACGCUGCUCGAGUUCGCCGCCGUCGAUCCCGGCGAGCCGAAGUUCAACCAGGAGGUGGAUCUGAUCUCCGAUUACGACAACACGCGGAGAAGCCACCGCCGCUACUUCAGCUCCAUGGCGACGCCGAUCGGAGGAAAAAGGAGGAGCAGAAGAUACGUUCCGUCCAAGUUUCCGGUAACGAAUCUUCGCUCCUCCCUUCAGGUCUCUCGUUACUGGUCAGAGUUCAAGAGGAACCUAAGGCUCUGGACUCGCACCAGAAAGGCUUACGAGCCUCGCAUCAUACUAGAUUUGAUUAGACUUAUCAAGAAUCCGAUCGAUUCUCGCCAAAACGGCGCCGUUUCCGUUUCUAGAUACU